rnacentral:rRNA from 1 species
UACAGAGGGUGCAAGCGUUGUUCGGAAUUAUUGGGCGUAAAGCGCGUGUAGACGGCUUUGCAAGUCGGGUGUGAAAGCCCUCAGCUCAACUGAGGAAGUGCGCCCGAAACUGCAGAGCUUGAGUGCCGGAGAGGGUGGCGGAAUUCCCCAAGUAGAGGUGAAAUUCGUAGAUAUGGGGAGGAACACCGGUGGCGAAGGCGGCAUCCUGGACCGGCAUUGACGCUGAGGAGCGAAAGCCAGGGGAGCAAACGGG